rnacentral:rRNA from 1 species
UGGCGACGUGGGCGGUUCGCCGCCGGCGACGUCGCGAGAAUUCCACUGAACCUUAUCAUUUAGAGGAAGGAGAAGUCGUAACAAGGUUUCCGUAGGUGAACCUGCGGAAGGAUCAUUGGCGAACCUGCAACGCACAACGACCCGUGAACAUGUAAUUACAUCCCGGUGAGGGAUAUGGUCCUUGGUCCUUAUCCCUUUCCCCUCCCUGCAUGCGUGUGUGGAAUUCCGUUUGGGGUGCCAUGGAUGUCAUGUUGGGAUUUAACAAACCCCGGCACGGAAUGUGCCAAGGAAAACAAAAGUGAGAAGGACUCGUCUUGUCUUGCCCCGUUCGCGGUGUGCAAGUGGGACGUGGCCUCUUUGUAAUUAAAAACGACUCUCGGCAACGGAUAUCUCGGCUCACGCAUCGAUGAAGAACGUAGCAAAAUGCGAUACUUGGUGUGAAUUGCAGAAUCCCGUGAACCAUCGAGUUUUUGAACGCAAGUUGCGCCCGAAGCCAUCCGGUUGAGGGCACGCCUGCCUGGGCGUCACGCUUCGCGUCGCCCCCCACCAUAUAUACCUAACGGGUACUAAUAGUGUUUGGGGCGGAAAUUGGCCUCCCGCACCUGUGAUGCGGUUGGCCUAAAAAUGAGUCCCCUUUAGCGGACGCACGACUAGUGGUGGUUGAACAGACCCUCGUCCUUAUCGUGUGUCGUGAGCUGCAAGGGAAGCCCUCAACAAUGACCCUAUUGCAUUGUUUUUUGGACGAUGCUUCGACCGCGACCCCAGGUCAGGCGGGACUACCCGCUGAGUUUAAGCAUAUCAAUAAGCGGA